rnacentral:rRNA from 1 species
UAAACUAGGAUUAGAUACCCUAUUAUUUAAAAUGUAAUUUUAGUCACUAAGGUAGUAGUAGUUAUGUUCUUGAAACUUAAAAAAUUUGGCGGUAUUUUAGUCUAUUCAGAGGAACCUGUCCUGUAAUUGAUAAUCCACGAUGUACCUUACUUGAAUUUGUUUUUCAGUUUAUAUACCGUCGUUAUCAGAAUAUUUUAUUAGAAUAAUAAUUUUCUAUAAUUUUUAUAAGAAUUUAUAUCAGAUCAAGGUGUAGCUUAUAUUUAAGUAGAGAUGGGUUACAAUAAAUUUAUUUAAACGGAUCUAAUUUUGAAAUGUUUAGUGAAGGUGGAUUUGAUAGUAAAAUUUUAAAGAUAGUUAAUUUGAUUUUAGCUCUAGAAUAUGCACACAUCGCCCGUCGCUCUUGCUAUUAAGGUAAGAUAAGUCGUAACAUAGUA